CGCUUGGCAACCAACAGCCGACUUCGUCGACCGACCGACGAUCCAAGUUCCGGGAAAUCGCCGAGGAUCUAUUCCUCUUCUCCAUCAUCAUUACGGUUGGGGAUGAAGAAGGUCAUUCGUUAGUCUGUGUUUGAUUGUUUCAGUUUCUUUGUUUAUUUGUUGUAAGUUUGGCAAAUGAUGUUCCUUGCAUACCGUGUUCACCUGGAACCCUGGAGAAAGCGGGGUUUUGGGAAAACAGAGGGGAUUGUUUCAGAAACAGGGUGGGCUUCUAAAGGUGAUGCGAAUGAAGCUGGGGCGAAUGAGGAGAAUGCUAGGACUUAUAAUAAAAAUCUACGAAAGAGAUUGUUGAAGAAGAAGGGUACUCCUUAUAGGCCGAAGAGAACUGUGAAGGGAUAUGUUUUCGCAUUGUUUAAUGAGAAUCUGAAACCGGGUCCUACUUCUGAGAGGAAUUUCGGAUUGUUUAAGGCUGAUGGAAGUACUGCUUAUGAUAUUGGGUUUAGGGGUCUUGUACCCUCUUCGGGUUCAUCAUUUAAGAUUAAGAAUUUCAGGUUUGGCGGUUGGACAAACAUGGCGGCAUGUGCUAUGGCCACUCUGUUUCUCAAUAAUUUCGAGAAGACGAGAAGGGUUCACUGUCAAACUAGAAGAAGUAGAGGAUUGGCUGUAUGAAGAUGGGGAAGAUGAGAUUAACGGAGUAUACGUUGAUAAACUUGAUGAACUCAAGAAGCAAGGUGAUCCUAUAGAAGAGCGCCACAUGGUACAUACAGAGAGGGGUUCAGUGAUAGACCAGCUUGUGUAUUGCAUCAAUAGCUACAGAGAGGCUGCAAUGUCAACUGAUCCCAAGUUCGAUCAUAUUGAAUUAUCGGAGAAGGAAA